AGCAUGAGGAGGAGGGAGGCCAGGCGGACCGCCGAGCCGAGGCGCCUGGCCGUGGGCCAGAGGCAGCGUUCUAAAUACAACUGCCCCGGCGGCGGCGGCGCCCGGGUGCCACCCGGAGCAGCGCUCACGUGCUCCCGCCCGGCGGCGAGGUUAAAGGGACAGGCCGGCGAUCCAGAGCCGGCUCGCCGCUGGCCUCGCCCCUCCCGCCGCCCGAGGUCGCCCCUGGGCGGUUGUCCAAGGAAGGCGCGGGAAUGUGACUGCCCAAGAGCCAUUUAGGGGCUUGGCCUUUACCUGCACCUCCACGAUGCGGAGCCAACACUCUGCCGGAAGAGUUUAGCUGCGCGCGCCGCAGAGCCCUUGGUCCCUGUGAGUGACAAGGAACUGAAGAGGAGUAGGAGCUGGCCCCUGGCAGCCCUGUUCUGCUUGGAAAUGCCCUCAUCACAGAUAGCAGGACCCGAAGCGCGCGUGCACACACACAAACACACAGAUAUGCACGCAGAUACAUGCGUGCACGGAGAUACAUGUGCACACUUGCACAGGCACAUGCAUGCAUAAACACACGCGUAAACAUGUGCGAACUUGCAUGCACACAUGCACGCAGAUGCGUAUCUGCACAUUAGCAGAUACAUGCACACAUGCAAACAAAGUGCACACACGCCCGCCGAGCGCGCCAGUCUCUUCAUUGAAAUUUUUUCUCCCGGAAAGAGGAGAGGCAACGCGAAGUCUCCCCCCGCCCUACCCGGCUGGCGCGACACGCGGGGUUCCGACGCUGGCAGGGUGGAGGGUUUACCCGGAGCGAGGACCUCCUCUGCUUCCUAACAUCACCAUUGUGCCAACUGUCCAACUCUCCCUUCAUUUUACCCCGAUUUCACCUUCUCCUUAGGAACUCCCUUUCUGCUAAGUCCUAAUUUUAUAGCUCAGUCUGUUUCAGAGUUAUGUGAACACCAUAAUGACCUCAGUCCAGUUUAAAAAGGUGGAGUACAUUUUAAAAUGUGCCUCUUUAUAUCCUUGAAUAACAACAACAACAAAAUAGGUUUAGAUUCUCACACAUCAAACCUAAAAUUAUUUUGGAUUAAUUCCAAAAUAAAAACUUUCACCCGAGGAAGAAUUCCCCCCCCCCCCAAAAAAAAGUACAAGACCACCGUGGAAUAAAAACGCCUACUUUACAGCCCUAGCAGGGAGUUAGGCACCGCCAGGUUCCGCUGAGCCUGUGGAGGAGGUGCGCUUACAUGUCUGCGGCGGCGAGGCGGCGCUGAUUGGUCCGCGUUGCCAUUUUAAAUCCAUUUCCAGCUGCCCUUUGCAGAGCUGGGACACUUAGCUGCACGUUGAGUGCCCUGCAGAAACCCAGGGUUUCUCCUGGGUCUGGGAACGCUUAGCUAUGAUAGAGAGGGAGAGCCCCCGUCCCUCCGGAUGGAGCCCAGCAGCUGACUGGGGAGGGAGGGUCUAACAGGAAUCAAAGGUUUUCUGCCAGGGCUUGGCUGAAAGAUGGUAUCUUCAUCAAAGGGUUUGAAAUUUCGAGUGCUAACCAUUGCAGUGACAUGGCCUAACUGCCAAGUUUGCACGCUUUUUUCAUGGGAUUACAUUCGCACCGGGGUGUGCACAUUUUACAUACACAUGCUAAAUGGGCUUCUGGGUAUGUUUUUGUUUGCUUCCUUUUUGCAGGGACUUUAGAUACAAUUCCGAGAGCCACUGUGAAAGGGAUCAUUGAUUUCAGCCAGCAACUUUUAUACUGGGUACAUUAUAUCCUUGGGGUUUUGUUUGUUUGUUUGUUUGAUUUUUUUUAAUAUUCACAAAGGCCUGCAAGGAGGGGGAUUCCAAAAUGUUAUUGUUUUUUUAUUAUUAAUCCUUGACUAAGAAAAGCACCGAAGAAUUGGGGUUGGGAGACUGUCCAGCCACUUGUUUUCAGGCUCUUGUCACUUAGCUAUCAGACUGUUUGAUCCCUUUUGAAUUUGUAACAAGAAUAGGGGGGAAAUAUUGCAUCCAGUUUUGUCUAAAUAGUUUUCUAAUUUUUUCAGGUUUCUGUGUAUUUUCUGUAAGGAAGAUAUUCAAAUUUGUUUUCAUCUUUUAAUUUUUAUAGAUCUUAAGUUAAAUGGUUAUAUUUUCAUUUAAAGAAUGGAUUUAUAUUUUAUUUUAUUUUUUUACAUUUGAGGUUUUGGUUUUUUUCCAGUUUAAGUUGUUCAGUUGUUCACUUCCACUUCUGUAUCUCAACAUAUUUCAGGGCUAAACUCUUAUUUCUAAUUUGAAAACUUUGCAGGUGGUUUUUAAUCCACAUAAAACUAUUUUUUUUCUUUUUCUGCACUUACUAUCAAACUGAACAGUUAGCACCUUGGUUGUGUAUGUUAAAGAUUUCUUAUUAUCUGCAAUACAUGGUUUAGUGUUUAGAUUGGGUCUCCUCAUUAGUGGGUGGUAAAGUGAGCUCAGUGGACUCAUUACAUCAUUUAGAAACAAUAAAUUGAAUGCAGUAGACAAUAUCACAUGUAGAAGUUCUGUUUUACAUGUGUGUGUAAAAGUUGUAUUCAGAUGCUUUUUUUCACCUUUUUACACUUUGGAAAUUGGGAUGCAUCUUAGAGUACAGUGUAUCUUAGCACUGUGUUAUCACUUACCAGACAGUCUCUUUUCCAUUUUAGUGGUAUAUGUAAUACUGAUGUAUUUUAUAAUCAACAGCACCAUGAAUCAGAGAAAUACAUGUAUGUGAAGUAUAUUUCUUAGUGUGGGUUGUAGUGUAACAUGUAUCAGUGACACUGAAUUAGAUAGUUGUGAGACCUGGGUUCCUCAUGACUUCACUAAACCAGCUCUGCAGCCUUUGGUCAAUCAUUUAUCCUCUCUGUAUCUCCAGGUCCUCAUCUCUAAAAGGCAAGGACUCAGGAAUGUAAUUCAUUCAGAACUGGAAAGAAUCUCUUUUGAAACAGUGAGUUCAUUCAGCAAAUAUUUAUUGAGUACCCACAAUGUGCUAGAAUUCACAGAACAUUCUUCUGGAUGAAAGUCAUGGAAGCAGAACCAAAGUGGAAUGAUUUCAUUUCUAUCUCGCAUCUGUUGACAUUAUACUGUCAGCCCCAAACAACCUUGGUCUAAUAUACUAUCAAGCAGCUUUGAAGAACAGGAGGAACAUGGGCUUUUAAAUCAGAUUUAGGGAUGGGAGGGGUGGUAGGCAGAAUGGCCCCUAAGAUUUCCCGCCCGGCUGGUGUACCUGAUGUGCAUAUUCCCUGGGACUAUAUCAUAUAAUGGAUUUUACUCCUGUCGUUAGGCUAUGUUUCAGUUGACCUUAAGAUAAUAAAACUACCCAGGUGAGCUUGACCUAAUUCUAUCUAUACUUUUAAAGCAAAGAGUUUUCUGUAGCUGGUUUUAGGGGAAGAAGUUAAAGAUUUGGAGCUCAAGAGGAUUUGAUUCACCAUUAUUGGUGUGAAGAUAGAAAGGAGUCAUGGCAAAGGAUGUGGGCAGCCUAUAGGAGCUGAAGGAAGCCCCAGGCAACAGCCAAGAAGGAAACAGGACCUCCUUUUUAGAACCACAGGAACAGAAUUCUGCUGACAAGAAUAAGCUUGAAAAGUGGAGUCUUCCCCAGAGCACCCAGAAGAACACUCAGCUGGGGCCUCACGAUACCCCCAGCUGAGGCCCCAGCCAUGCCAUACUCUGAAUCACAAACCUGUGAGCUAAUAAAUGGAUAUUUUAAUGGUA